rnacentral:rRNA from 1 species
UAAAGCAUCCGUAGCCGGUUGUUUAAGUUUUCGGUUAAAUCUAUGCGCUUAACGUAUAGGCUGCCGAAAAUACUGGACAGCUAGGGAGUGGGAGAGGUACACGGUACUCGAUAGGAAGGGGUAAAAUCCUUUGAUCUAUUGAUGACCACCUGUGGCGAGGCGGUGUACCAGAACACGUUCGACGGUGAGGGAUGAAAGCUGGGGGAGCAAACCGGAUUAGAUACCCGGGUAGUCCCAGCUGUAAACGAUGCAGACUCGGUGAUGCAUUGGCUUGUGGCCAAUGCAGUGCCGCAGGGAAGCCGUUAAGUCUGCCGCCUGGGAAGUACGUACGCAAGUAUGAAACUUAAAGGAAUUGGCGGGGGAGCACCACAAGGGGUGAAGCCUGCGGUUCAAUUGGAGUCAACGCCAGAAAUCUUACCCGGGGCGACAGCAGAAUGAAGGUCAAGCUGAAGACUUUACCAGACAAGCUGAGAGGUGGUGCAUGGCCGUCGCCAGCUCGUGCCGUGAGAUGUCCUGUUAAGUCAGGUAACGAGCGAGACCCCUGCGUCUAGUUGCUACCAUUCCUCUCUGGAGUAGUGGAGCGAAUUAGACGGACCGCCACAGUUAAUGUGGAGGAAGGAAGGGGCCACGGCAGGUCAGUAUGCCCCGAAACCCUGGGGCCACACGCGGGCUGCAAUGGUAUUGACAAUGUGUUCCGAACCCGAAAGGGGGAGGCAAUCAUCAAACGAUACCUCAGUUAUGACUGAGGGCUGCAACUCGCCCUCACGAAUAUGGAAUCCCUAGUAACUGCGCGUCAUUACCGCGCGGUGAAUACGUCCCUGCUCCUUGCACACACCGCCGGUCGUUUCAUCGAAGUUGGCCUUUAGUGAGGUAGUGUCUAAUAG